rnacentral:rRNA from 1 species
GAUUCUGGCUCAGGAUGAACGCUAGCGACAGGCUAACACAUGCAAGUCGAGGGGCAGCAUAAAAGUAGCAAUACUUGGUGGCGACCGGCGCACGGGUGAGUAACGCGUAUGCAACCUACCUAUCAGAGGGGAAUAACCCGGCGAAAGUCGGACUAAUACCGCAUAAAACAGGGGCACCGCAUGGUGAUAUUUGUUAAAGAAAUUCGCUGAUAGAUGGGCAUGCGUUCCAUUAGGUAGUUGGUGAGGUAACGGCUCACCAAGCCGACGAUGGAUAGGGGAACUGAGAGGUUGGUCCCCCACACUGGUACUGAGACACGGACCAGACUCCUACGGGAGGCAGCAGUGAGGAAUAUUGGUCAAUGGGCGGGAGCCUGAACCAGCCAAGUCGCGUGAAGGAAGAAGGAUCUAUGGUUCGUAAACUUCUUUUGCAGGGGAAUAAAGUGCAGGACGUGUCCUGUUUUGUAUGUACCCUGAGAAUAAGGAUCGGCUAACUCCGUGCCAGCCGCCGC